rnacentral:rRNA from 1 species
GAUGAACGCUGGCGGCGUGCCUAAUACAUGCAAGUCGAGCGAACAGACGCGGAGCUUGCUCCUUUGACGUUAGCGGCGGACGGGUGUGUAACACGUGGAUAACCUCCCUAUCAGUCUGGUAUCACUUCGGGACACCGGCGCUAAUACCGGAUAAUCUAUUGCACCGCAUGGUUCAAUAGUGAAAGUCGGUUUUGCUGUAUCUACUCGCUGGUUCUGCGCCGCUUUGGCUAGUUGGUAAGUACACGGCUUUCCACGGCGACGAUGCGUAUCCGAGUGAAGAGGGUGAUCGGCCGCACGGGAAGUUGGCCACGGUCCAGACGCCUGCGGGAGGGAGCAGUAGGGAAUCUGACGCAAUGGUCGAAAGCCUGACAGAGCAACGCCGCGUGAGUGAUGAAGGUCUUCGGAGCGUAAAACUCGGUUAUUAGGGAAGAACAGAUGUGGAAGUAGCUAAGGACGGAUUGACGGUACCUAGUCAGAAAGCCACGGCUAACUACGUG